GGGAUUUUUUGUUGCAUUUUUUCCAUAACGAAUAGCGUACUAAUCCGUUUUUCUGGCUGUGCUUCAUGUACCUGGUGCCUAAAGGCUAUAAUUAAUAAAUAAUCUUAGGUCUAUGCAAUACGUUUAUGAGGUUGCCCGGCUCUCUAUUCAUAGAGCAUGAGACUCUAUUUCAGGUCGUGGGUUCGAGUGAUGCUGAUCAGAGGAAAGCACUAUUGCUACAGUGCUGAAGGAAGGAAGGAUAACAACCGCAUGGAUAACAACCCUUGACCGAUGCGGAAACGGACUUGGAACCGGCAAAGAUGGGGGGUGUAAGGGAUUCUGGGGAAAUCCCUUCGCUCGCCGCGGGAUCAUCGGAAAAACUACCGGAAAACCCGGAGUAAUUGUUUAUGCUGAUCCACCGACAGCAUGCAGUGUGAUAGCCUCACCACCAAAAAAUACGAGUUACAAUGGAAAUUGGAUUGCCUUGAUAGCCAGAUACAAUUGCAGCUUUGAAAUAAAAGUUCGGAUGGCACAGGAAGCCGGUUACGAUGCCGCCAUAAUUCAUAACGUUAAUAGCAAUGAAUUAGCUCUCGUCAUAGCGCAGUGCUUGCGACGAUCCCUACUGAUGUCACCAGCAGCGCUGGUGGUGCUUGUUUAUCGCC